CGAAGUCAAUGAUGAUGUUUGUUAUCCCUGUCUUAACUCUCAUGUGGACAUCAUUCAGACUGAGACUUCA